rnacentral:rRNA from 1 species
ACGAACGCUGGCGGCGUGCUUAACACAUGCAAGUCGAGCGGUAAGGCUCCUUCGGGAGUCCACGAGCGGCGAACGGGUGAGUAACACGUGAGUAAUCUGCCCUUCACUUCGGGAUAACCACCGGAAACGGUGGCUAAUACCGAAUACGACCAGUCUUCGCAUGAGGUGCUGGUGGAAAGUCUUUUCGGUGAAGGAUGUGCUCGCGGCCUAUCAGCUUGUUGGUGGGGUAAUGGCCUACCAAGGCUUCGACGGGUAGCCGGCCUGAGAGGGUGACCGGCCACACUGGGACUGAGACACGGCCCAGACUCCUACGGGAGGCAGCAGUGGGGAAUAUUGGACAAUGGGCGAAAGCCUGAUCCAGCAACGCCGCGUGAGGGAUGACGGCCUUCGGGUUGUAAACCUCUUUCAGUACCGACGAAGCGCCCUGUCGGGUGGUGACGGUAGGUACAGAAGAAGGACCGGCCAACUACGUG